GCGGAUUUAGCUCAGUUGGGAGAGCGCCAGACUGAAGUCAUCUGGAGGUCCUGUGUUCGAUCCACAGAAUUCGCA
rnacentral:tRNA from 1 species